CUGAGGCUGACUGUUUCCUUUUUCAUUGUAAUGUCGACCAUUACACGCCCGUUUUCUUCAUCUAAGCUUACCACCUGUAAAUAAUACCAUGUCACUUAAAAUACUAUGUAUUUCAAUUAGAAAUGGUCCAUUGGGUAUAGAUAUAACCU